rnacentral:lncRNA from 1 species
UUAUAUGCAAUAUUAUAUUUCACUCCUAAUGUUGUACCAAUUAGAAUGUGUGCACCAUCUAAACAAAAAUGAACAUAUAAAUUUGGUUAAAUAUUUUUACAUCAGAGAAAGUUUGAGAUCUAAGCAAAUCUGUUUCAAAACAGGUCUUCCAACUCGAGAAUAUUUUGGACUUUCUAUGCUUGUAUGGUAUGAGUGUGCGAUUUUGGUGUGCUGUCAUGUUUUUCCAUGCUUCGAGUAUGUUGUUCAUGAGCCAAUUUGUAGCAACAUAAAACAAAGUAGGAGCCGAGAAACACCACUAACCACACUGUAAUACAAUAUAAAUUUGGUUACAUCUUUAUACAUACCAUUACCAUCAUUUAUUAACAAAACACAAAUGAAAAAAAUUCUGUAAUAUGUAAUAAUAAAACUAAAAAAAACAAAGUUCAAUUGAACUUACCCAUAUAAUAAUCUGGUAAAUCGCUGAUUCUAUAUAACUUUAGAUCCAUUUAUGAAUUAGUUUUCUGUGUUUAUUUAAUGGAAUAAAAAGAAAAACACUUGUUUUUUCCAUCUUUGCUCUUGAGCUCCUAAACUAGCCUUUGUUGGUGGCAGCUGCUACUCU